rnacentral:lncRNA from 1 species
GAAAAUGAUGAUGUUAAACCCAUGAAAUUUGAUUGAAUUGUGGGAAUGAUGAAAAUGAUGAUGUUAAACCCAUGAAAUUUGAUUGAAUUGUGGGAAUGAUGAAAAUGUUGAUGUUAAACCCAUGAAAUUUGAUUGAAUUGUGGGAAUGAUGAAAAUGAUGAUGUUAAACCCAUGAUAUUUGAUUGAAUUGUGGGAAUGUUGAAAAUGUUGAUGUUAAACCCAUGAAAUUUGAUUGAAUUGUGGGA